rnacentral:lncRNA from 1 species
UUGGAGGAAAGAUGAGUGAGAGCAUCAACUUCUCUGACAACCUAGGCCAGUGUGUGGUGAUGCCAGGCAUGCCCUUCCCCAGCAUCAGGUCUCCAGAGCUGCAGAAGACGACGGCCGACUUGGAUCACAGUCUUCUCAGAGCCCAGGCCAGGGGCCCCCAAGAAAGGCUCUGGUGGAGAACCUGUGCAUGAAGGCUGUCAACCAGUCCAUAGGCAAGCCUGGCUGCCUCCAGCUGGAUUCUGCCAGCAUAGUGCUCCUGGACCAGUGAUACACCCGGCACCCUGUCCUGGACAGGCUGUUGGCCUGGAUCUGAGCCCUCGUGGAGGUCAAAGCCACCUUUGGUUCUGCCAUUGCUGCUGUGUGGAA